rnacentral:rRNA from 1 species
GGCGGCAUGCUUAACACAUGCAAGUCGCACGGGCAGGGGUAACUCUGUCAGUGGCGGACGGGUGAGUAACGCGUAGGUAUCUAUCCUCGGGUGGGGGACAACCACGGGAAACUGUGGCUAAUACCGCAUGAUGACUGAGGUCCAAAGGCGCAAGUCGCCUGGGGAGGAGCCUGCGUCCGAUUAGCUUGUUGGUGGGGUAAAGGCCUACCAAGGCUCCGAUCGGUAGCUGGUCUGAGAGGAUGAUCAGCCACACUGGGACUGAGACACGGCCCAGACUCCUACGGGAGGCAGCAGUGGGGAAUAUUGGACAAUGGGCGAAAGCCUGAUCCAGCAAUGCCGCGUGUGUGAAGAAGGUCUUCGGAUUGUAAAGCACUUUCGACGGGGACGAUGAUGACGGUACCCGUAGAAGAAGCCCCGGCUAACUUCGUGCCAGCAGCCGCGGUAAUACNAAGGGGGCUAGCGUUGCUCGGAUUGACUGGGCGUAAAGGGCGCGUA